rnacentral:rRNA from 1 species
GUCUCAGGCCGUAUCAGCCUGAAGGCGCCCGAUCUCGUCUGAUCUCGGAAGCUAAGCAGGGUCGGGCCUCGUUAGGAUCUUGGAUGGGAGACCACCUGGGAAUCCCGGGUGCUCGAGGCU